UAAGUUACAUCAGAAACUUGGAGUUUUACUUCAAUAGAUAAUUAUUUAUAAUGAUACUAUUGGCUAUAGUCAAUUGGUGUUGCACCUGCAGGUUGAGAGAAAUUGCUGGACUUAAGAGUUUUGCUGGGUAUUUGUUGAGAAUGAGAGUUUAUCUACUGGAAUUUCACUGAGAAUAUGGGAGGUGUUUUGCACUACAAGAUUUGACGGCUUCAUAGCUUGUAAAAUUUAAAGCAUUCGCUCGAGUUAACUUUUUUUUAUUACUUUGGAUGUGUUAAUUUUUGGAUACAAGUGUUUUUGGAUGAUGUUAUUAAUAU
rnacentral:lncRNA from 1 species